UUUGAUCAUGGCUCAGGAUGAACGCUAGCGGAAGGCCUAAUACAUGCAAGUCGAGCGGUAGAUUACUUCGGUGAUUGAGAGCGGCGCACGGGUGAGUAACGCGUACAUGACCUACCUUUGAGAAAGGAAUAGCCCUGGGAAACUGGGAUUAAUGCCUUAUAGUAUUACGAUUAUAAAUAAUUGUAAUUAAAGCGUUAGCGCUUGAAGAUGGAUGUGCGUCUGAUUAGCUAGUUGGUGAGGUAACGGCUCACCAAGGCGACGAUCAGUAGGGGGCGUGAGAGCGUGAACCCCCACACGGGUACUGAGACACGGACCCGACUCCUACGGGAGGCAGCAGUAAGGAAUAUUGGUCAAUGCCCGCAAGGGUGAACCAGCCAUUCCGCGUGGAGGAUGACUGCCCUAUGGGUUGUAAACUUCUUUUAGAUGGGAAGAAAAUGUUUUAUUUAUAAGACACUGACGGUACCAUCGGAAUAAGCACCGGCUAACUCCGUGCCAGCAGCCGCGGUAAUACGGAGGGUGCGAGCGUUAUCCGGAAUUACUGGGUUUAAAGGGUGCGUAGGCGGGAUUUUAAGUCUAAGGUGAAAGUUUGUCGCUUAACGAUAGAAUUGCCUUGGAUACUGAAGUUCUUGAAUUAGGUUGAGGAUAGCGGAAUGUGACAUGUAGCGGUGAAAUGCAUAGAUAUGUCAUAGAACACCAAUUGCGAAGGCAGCUAUCUGGGCUUAUAUUGACGCUGAGGCACGAAAGCGUGGGGAUCGAACAGGAUUAGAUACCCUGGUAGUCCACGCCCUAAACGAUGCUAACUCGAUGUUUGGGCCUUGUGCUUGAGCAUCCAAGGGAAACCGUUAAGUUAGCCACCUGGGGAGUACGACCGCAAGGUUGAAACUCAAGGAAUUGACGGGGUCCGCACAAGCGGUGGAGCAUGUGGUUUAAUU
rnacentral:rRNA from 1 species